ACUAAAGUAUAUGAAGUCGUAACACCUCAUAAAUUUAACUAAUUUAUUUGCAAAAUGUACAAAACGGUAUUUUUCUUGUUCGCACUACUUGCUGCAGUGUCAACGUUACCAGCUCUUAACGAAAGUUUCCACGGUGUCAAGAACAAAUAUUAUAUUUCUAAAAUUGGGUUAGAGUUUUUCCAAGCGUACGCUCAUUGCAAAAUACACGGCUUGUCCCUUGCAACUGAAAUCAACGCUGAAGAAACUUUAGCAGUAACUGAGGCUAUAAGAGCAGUGGGAGCACCUGGUAAUUAUUUUUGGUUAGGAGGUUUCUAUCAGAAUGGAGGGACAUUCUAUCCUCAAUGGAUAUGGCUAGAUUCUGGAAAGCCUAUCGAAUAUAAUAGAUGGAAUAGCCUAGCUUAUCAGAAUCCUUCCUUGUCCUACUGUUUUCUCAGAACUCCACUCGUAAUAGCGGGUCAAAGUCUUUCAGGAAAUUGGUCUUUAACCCCAUGCACGAACAAAAAUACUUUUAUUUGUAAAACUAUAAAUUAUAGCAUAUAAUUUAAAAACAAUAA